UACGGAGGGGGUUAGCGUUGUUCGGAAUGACUGGGCGUAAAGCGCGCGUAGGCGGAUCAGCAAGUCAGGGGUGAAAUCCCGGGGCUCAACCCCGGAACUGCCCUUGAGACUGUUGGUCUCGAGUUCGAGAGAGGUGGGUGGAAUUCCGAGUGUAGAGGCGAAAUUCGUAGAUAUUCGGAGGAACACCAGUGGCGAAGGCGGCCCACUGGCUCGACACUGACGCUGAGGCGCGAAAGCGCGGGGAGCAAACAGG
rnacentral:rRNA from 1 species